UACAGAGGGGGCAAGCGUUAUUCGGAAUUAUUGGGCGUAAAGGGCGCGUAGGCGGCUUGGCAAGUGGAUGGUGAAAUCCCUCGGCUUAACCGAGGAACGGCCGUCCAAACUGCUUCGCUUGAGACCGGGAGAGGUGAGUGGAAUUCCCAGUGUAGCGGUGAAAUGCGUAGAUAUUAGGAGGAAUACCGAUGGCGAAGGCAGCCAACUGGGACAUUUCUGACGCUGAGGAACGAAAGCGUGGGUAGCAAACAGG
rnacentral:rRNA from 1 species